GCAAUAUCGGCUACCGACAGUGCGCCGACGGGCCUGCACGAAGAGGAAACCGGUGCGAAUCCGGUGCGGUCCCGCCACUGUGAUCGGGCACAUUGCGACCCGAGAGCCAGAUACUCACCGCCGGCGCUUCCUAGACG
rnacentral:ncRNA from 1 species